rnacentral:tRNA from 1 species
UCCUGGAUGGCUAAGUCAGUUAAGUGUCUGACUUUGACUCAGGUCAUGAUCUUGUGGUUUGUGAGUUCAAGCCUCACAUCAGGCU